GCUACAAUGGGCGCUAAGCCUGAUGCAGCCAUGCCGCGUGUAUGAAGUAAGGCCUUCGGGUUGUAAAGUACUUUCAGCAGUGAGGAAGGUGGGUAUGUUAAUAGCAUAUUCAUUUGACGUUAGCUGCAGAAGAAGCACCGGCUAACUCCGUGCCAGCAGCCGCGGUAAUACGGAGGGUGCGAGCGUUAAUCGGAAUUACUGGGCGUAAAGCGCAUGCAGGUGGUUUGUUAAGUCAGAUGUGAAAGCCCGGGGCUCAACCUCGGAAUUGCAUUUGAAACUGGCAAACUAGAGUACUGUAGAGGGGGUAGAAUUUCAGGUGUAGCGGUGAAAUGCGUAGAGAUCUGAAGGAAUACCGGUGGCGAAGGCGGCCCCCUGGACAGAUACUGACACUCAGAUGCGAAAGCGUGGGGAGCAAACAGGAUUAGAUACCCUGGUAG
rnacentral:rRNA from 1 species